CCUACGGGGUGCAGCAGUGGGGAAUAUUGGACAAUGGGCGAAAGCCUGAUCCAGCCAUGCCGCGUGUGUGAAGAAGGCCUUCGGGUUGUAAAGCACUUUCAGUGGGGAAGAAAGCCUUGGGGCUAAUACCCUCGAGGAAGGACAUCACCCACAGAAGAAGCACCGGCUAACUCCGUGCCAGCAGCCGCGGUAAUACGGAGGGUGCGAGCGUUAAUCGGAAUUACUGGGCGUAAAGCGCGCGUAGGCGGUCUGAUAAGCCGGUUGUGAAAGCCCCGGGCUCAACCUGGGAACGGCAUCCGGAACUGUCAGGCUAGAGUGCAGGAGAGGAAGGUAGAAUUCCCGGUGUAGCGGUGAAAUGCGUAGAGAUCGGGAGGAAUACCAGUGGCGAAGGCGGCCUUCUGGACUGACACUGACGCUGAGGUGCGAAAGCGUGGGUAGCAAACAGGAUUAGAUACCCUAGGUC
rnacentral:rRNA from 1 species